GCCGUGGUGGCUGGGAAAUAGCUCAGUUGGGCGAAUAUAUGACUCUUACUCUCAAGGUUGUGGGUUUGAACCCCACAUUGGGCA